GGCGAGAUGGCCGAGCGGUCUAAGGCGCCAGACUAAGGAUCAGCUAGCGCAAGCUGGCACAUCUGCGAGAUUCGAACUCGUAUCUGGUCUUUCGGGGCGUGGGUUCGAAUCCCACUCUCGUCA
rfam:Schizophyllum commune H4-8 unplaced genomic scaffold SCHCOscaffold_15, whole genome shotgun sequence.